UGCGCUUCGAUUUAAAGAGAACCACUGCGAUCAGAGUAACUCUAUCAGCAUCAGAAAAGCUACGAAGGUGGAACUGAAGAUGAUCUGAAAGGAUUUUGUCUGGUUCACUUGGAGCACAUCUUGGAAAGUAAAAAAGAAGACAAAGAGGAAGCUCGAGAGACUCCAGCCUGGACACCAGCCAUGGAGGAGGAUUUUAUGAAGAAGGGCCACCCUGAUGUUAUAAGGCAGCAGCAGACGAGCAACGUGGAUAAAGGCUACUCUGAGACCAAGCGCGUCGAUUCGGGGCCAAACGGCUGCGUGCGCUGCUGCAUGAGCACCAAGAACUGCUUGAUGAGCCCGGAAUGUGGCAGAGCUCUCAGCAUCGCUAGUGUCAUCUCCAUGUGUGGCAUGUGUAUCCGCAUGUGGACAUAGAUUUCUUCUACUUCUGAAUCAAGAACAGCUUGUCUCCUGGUUGCUGCCACCCUGAACUUCGAACAAUCGAAGGCAUCAUGAUUAUGGAAUGUCUACUACGCCUCUACUAAAAAGCUUUUAUAACACACCCUUAUUUUGAACUCCACCCUAUUUUAUCACCUUGACCAGUAAAUAUAUAUCUUUUGGACAACAAUCAUUCACAGUGAAGCAUAUUUAUAAGUAAACAAAUUAUUUAAAAGGAGAAAGGGUCAUGUAAAAAAUAAGACUCUCACAAGGGAUGAAUAAUGUAUUAAUUUUUAAUGUUUUAAACGUGUCAAGGAUUUUACAUGGUUGGCAUCCUCGGGUAGCUGCCUUCCCUUUGACUGCUCUGUCCCGGCAUGAGUGCAGGUGAACAAUCAGAAAAGCUCAGACCUUGAUUUUAGCACUCUACAAAUUUGUGGCUUAAACACAAACCCCGGGUAUGAGAUACAUUUGUCUCAGAACAUGGCUGUGAAGAGGGAUUUUUUGACAGAACUGCAGUCUGCUACAGAUUAUUCAGCGCCUGUUUACGAUUGUCAUCCAUCAACUAAAGUAAUUAAAUUGAAAAGGCUGCUGGUACCAGAGGUCACGUUGACUGUCAUUUAGUUUUUAAUUUUCGUUUUGUUGACUAUUUUUUAUGUUUAAUUACCUUAAAUCAGUUAGGUAAUGAAAUUAUUUGAAGUGCCUUCCCCCACAAUUUCUAGGCUUUUCAUUUGCAUAUGAGUAAUGGAGAAUAGUCACCUUUUUUGUAUUCUCAAAACGUCACCUCAUGUAUUCUAUUAGCUGAUUAGAAACUACUCUCAGGAUUUUUUUUCUUUUCAGAACUUAAACGCUUGUCAUUCCUUCUACAUUUUCAGAUGUAGUUUAAAAUUUACAAAACAGUGUCAUUCUCUGGCUUUGAUUUACUGCUCUCUGCUUUUCAAAAUAUAAAUAAUAUAAAAAAGAUA